CUACGGGUGGCUCCAGUGAGGAAUAUUGGUCAAUGGGCGCAAGCCUGAACCAGCCAUGCCGCGUGAAGGAUGAAGGCCUUAUGGGUUGUAAACUUCUUUUAUACGGGAAUAAACUUAGCUAUGUAUAGCUAACUGCAGGUACCGUAAGAAUAAGCACCGGCUAACUCCGUGCCAGCAGCCGCGGUAAUACGGAGGGUGCAAGCGUUAUCCGGAUUUAUUGGGUUUAAAGGGUCCGCAGGCGGACUAAUAAGUCAGUGGUGAAAUCUCUCGGCUCAACCGAGAAACUGCCAUUGAUACUGUUAGUCUAGAGUGUAGUUGGCGUAGGCGGAAUGUAUCAUGUAGCGGUGAAAUGCUUAGAUAUGAUACAGAACACCGAUCGCGAAGGCAGCUUACGAAACUACAACUGACGCUCAGGGACGAAAGCGUGGGAAGCGAACAGGAUUAGAUACCCCUGUAGUC
rnacentral:rRNA from 1 species